rnacentral:rRNA from 1 species
CCCUUAGAUGUUCUGGGCCGCACGCGCGCUACACUGAUGAAUUCAACGAGCCUAUCCUUGACCGACAGGUCCGGGUAAUCUUUGAAUCUGCAUCGUGACGGGGAUAGAUUAUUGCAAUUAUUAAUCUUCAACGAGGAAUGCCUAGUAGGCGCAAGUCAUCAGCUUGCGUCGAUUACGUCCCUGCCCUUUGUACACACCGCCCGUCGCUCCUACCGAUUGGGUGUGCUGGUGAAAUGUUCGGAUCGGCCGUUUGUCGCGGUUUCCGCGUCAUGUGGCUGAGAAGUUCAUUAAACCCUCCCACCUAGAGGAAGGAGAAGUCGUAACA